UCAAGGAGGCUCCAUUCCUCCCUGGAGAAGUACAGGGCAAUGUCCUCAAAGGUCACGCCGACCUCAGCCACUCUCCUCAGCACCGGCGCCUCCAUUGCACUCGGUAGUCGGAGCGGGGCGGGAGCAGAAGCCGCUGCAGGAACGGCGGUCCCUGUCCCGGUCCUGGGCGGG